rnacentral:rRNA from 1 species
GAUGAACGCUGGCGGCGUGCCUAAUACAUGCAAGUCGAGCGAACGGACGAGAAGGUUGCUUCUCUGAUGUUAGAGGCGGACGUGUGAGUAACACGUGGAUAACCCACCUAUAUGACUGGGAUAACUUCGUGGAACCGGAGCUAAUACCGGACAUUAUUUUGAACCGCAUGGUUCAAAAGUGAUAGACGGUCGGGCUGUCACUUAUGCCUGUAUCCGCGCUGGAUUUGCGAGUUGGUAAGGUAACGGCUUACCAAGGCAACGAUGCAUAGCCGACCUAAGAGGGGGACCGGCCACACGGGAACGAGGACACGGUCCAGACUCCUACGGGAGGCAGCAGUAGGGAUCCUACGGCAAUGGGCGAAAGCCUAAAGGAGAAACGCCGCGUGAGUGUGGAAGGUCUUCGGAUCGUAAAACUCUGUUAUCAGGGAGGAACAUAUGUGUAAGUAACUGGGCAAAGCUUGACGGUACCGAAACAGAAAGCCACGGCUAACUACGUG